rnacentral:lncRNA from 1 species
CCUGAAUAUGAGCUCCAUGUUCUGGUGUGCGACUGUUUGCAGAUGAUCCAGUCAUUUCUGUUUCUGAUGAUUUCAUCGUUCACAGCUUCCACCACCUCAAAACCGUCUGAGACCUCACCUGAGGAAUCUGGAGGCUCAGGCUUCUUCUUGGUUCUGUCUCGUGUUCUUGUGUUGAUGGUGUUCGUCUCAGUGACUGUGAUUUUGCUGCUGCGCUACAAAAACACACUGAUGGACUUUUGUGGUUUAAACAGCAGAAGAAACUCAGACCUCAACAUGGAGCGUGUUGCCCCUGAGACCUGUUCUCCAGCCUCUACCUGUGAAGACCCCGUCGACCAGAACAUCCAUCCAGCCAUCAGAGACCAGGACCAAAGCUCUGAAAACAUUUAUGUAUCAGUAAUAUGAAUGACGGUCUGGAUCUAGACCUGGACUCUGUUCCUGAGGAGGUUUGUUUAGAUGUUAACGGUCAGUUAAUUUUUAAAAUAGUUGAUGUAAUCUCAGUAGAUUAGUCGACUAAUUCACAUGAAUAUUCUUAAAGAGUGAGGGAAUGUUGAUUAUAAAUGAUGUUAUAAUUGGUUUCCUCCUUUCUUAGCGUCCAACCAUCAUGACGUCACCCAUCAGUUUGUGAGUUGCUGGUUUGAAGCCUCCAGUUUCUCCAGUUUCUGUCGGCCAUCUUGUUUUUUUGUUUUUGUUUUUUGUAACCCCUGGAAACCAUAUUUGAAGGAGAAUGUAGGUAGGAGGAGUGAGGGGUUGAUGUGACCUGCUCUGUACUCUAUCCUGAUUGGGCAGUACAGCCUGUCAAUCAAACAGUAGCCACGCCCCCCUUAACCCCUCCCCUCCUUCCUGCUCUGUUUCCCUCUAGAGCAGGGGUGUCAAACUCAUUUAAAUAAACAUCAUGUUGUAUUUCAGACUGAGACCAUAAACUCAUCAGGGAGGAGGAGGGACU